rnacentral:rRNA from 1 species
AUUGAACGCUGGCGGCAGGCCUAACACAUGCAAGUCGAGCGGUUGACGGGAGCUUGCUCCCUGAUUCAGCGGCGGACGGGUGAGUAAUGCCUAGGAAUCUGCCUAUUAGUGGGGGACAACGUUUCGAAAGGAACGCUAAUACCGCAUACGUCCUACGGGAGAAAGCAGGGGACCUCCGGGCCUUGCGCUAAUAGAUGAGCCUAGGUCGGAUUAGCUUGUUGGUGAGGUGAUGGCUCACCAAGGCGACGAUCCGUAACUGGUCUGAGAGGAUGAUCAGUCACACUGGAACUGAGACACGGUCCAGACUCCUACGGGAGGCAGCAGUGGGGAAUAUUGGACAAUGGGCGAAAGCCUGAUCCAGCCAUGCCGCGUGUGUGAAGAAGGUCUUCGGAUUGUAAAGCACUUUAAGUUGGGAGGAAGGGUUGUAGAUUAAUACUCUGCAAUUUUGACGUUACCGACAGAAUAAGCACCGGCUAACUCUGUGCCAGCAGCCGCCGUAA